rnacentral:lncRNA from 1 species
GGAGUUCCGGGUCGUGACAUAUACAGUAAUUCAUAUACCUUUAAAAUAAAAAAUUCAUAAUGUUCAAAUAUAGUCCUUUUGAAAACAAUUCAUAAAAUCCAAUUAUGCAUUCAUAAUGGCAUCAUCUACCAUAAUAUACAUAUAUAGCUUGACCAAUGAAUCUUAGUAUUUCACCUCAAGUAUUCAUAUACAUAUAAUUAGGCCUUGACCGUCAGCGGAGUGACUCUGAUCACGAUUGCUAACAUUUAAUGUCAUGGUAAACCUAUCAAGCAAUGGAUAGGGAGGAGCACCUUGUCCUAGGAUCCAAUCACCUUUAACUCAGGAAACCUAAAACAUGAAUUUUAAAAACGUGAGUACAAACUCAGUGAGUGAACAUAGAAAGGGAACAAGCAAUGACAACGAAUAGUUUAGAAAACAUAAUGCACUUAUUUGAAAACAAUGCCAUUUAGUUCAAGUUCUUAUUAAAAUCCCUCCAUUAAACCCUUAGUUGUAAAAUCAUUUAAUAAUGAAGGAACCGUAUUCAGCAUGAAAUUAGAAAGAAGGGUAAUUUCUAGCAAUUAUCCAAGCAAGGUAGUAUAAAUAGAAUGUUUCUCGUUGCAAUAAAAUCAAUUUGUAAAUAAAUGGCAAAUUUUCAAGAUUCAUCACGUGCAUCUCACCCAACUUAUGUGCAUCCCACCACACCAUGCACAUAGCCGGACAUCCCAUCUCACCCAGCUCAUGUGCAUCCCACCACAUCGUGCAUAUAACCGGACAACAUCACCAUCCAUCUCCCUCACCACCGUCAUCACCGGCAAGUGCACACUCACCCCGCACAUGCACGGUUGCAUUUGUCACACAAUGGUACCAUUUAUGGCAUAGUAUAUAUAUAUAUAUAUAUCAACAUUAUACAAAAACAUAUGGAUUCAUCCUUUUACACAUUUCACAUUUCACAACAUCAAACAUUUCAUCAAGGGCUUGUUCCCAGGAAAUUUUAAACCAAAAAUCGAUAAAAUUCCCAAAUGAUUCAUUGAAACACAUAAACAUUUCCCCAAAACAUUUUGAAAUGCAAGUUCACUCACUUGACAAAACUAGCACCAACAAGGUCCUAAUCUAGGUAGUCUCGAAAUACCAUUAAAACCUAUAUUUAUCAAUAAACCAUAACAACCUCAAUUAAGUCAUAAAUUAAAUCUAAUAAUUCUAAUGAAUUUACAUUAGGCAAUCUACCCUCUAACCUAACAUUUAACCUAAGUUUCUAGUCUAAUUCACAAACCCAUUUGGCCAACUACUCCAAUUUAAAAUUUCAUUACUUGGAUGAGCUUGGAGGCAUGAAGAUCAACAAAAAAACCUAAUCUUUCCAAGAAAAAUAAUUUGAAGAAAAUUAGGGAAUAAAUCUGAAUAUAUAACCCUUAAUUCAAAAAUUUCAAAAGUUGGAAAUAUAUACCUUUCAACCUUGAAAAUGAAGAUUUGAAGCAAAAAAUCCAAGUGUUGUUUAAAGUGAAGUAGAAAUAGAAAAUAAAGGAAAGAAAGAGAGAUUUUUCUUUCUCUCUCCUUGGGUUUGGAAGUGCUAGAAAUUGGGUUUAGAAGUUGUAACUUUGGUGCACAAGGAGUUGGGAGAAGAAAGAAGCAAGAAGGGAAAGGAAAUGAAAAGAAAACAAGGAAAGAAAAUGAAAGAAAAUUAACUUUCCACGGGAGAUUGAGAGAAUGGCGUUGGAAGCUUCAAGAAUGAAAAAGAAACAUCUUGCCAGAG